UUUCCGUAGGUGAACCUGCGGAAGGAUCAUUAUUGAAUUCGGGCGAAGUUGUUGCUGGUACCCAAUGUGGUUCAUGUGCACACYUCGUAUCCCACUUCAACCACCUGUGAACUUUUUGUAGUCCUUGGGGGACGCUACAGCUCAAAGGAAACUUUGGAUUUGAGUGCUGCAGGCCUUUGUUACAAAGGUCGGCUUCAUUCUACAGCUGAACCCGGGUCUAUGCUUUAUAUACACCAAUUUGUAUGUCUAUGAAUGUGAUUGAAGGGCUUCAAUGCCUGUAAAUCUUAUACAACUUUCAGCAACGGAUCUCUUGGCUCUCGCAUCGAUGAAGAACGCAGCGAAAUGCGAUAAGUAAUGUGAAUUGCAGAAUUCAGUGAAUCAUCGAAUCUUUGAACGCACCUUGCGCCCCUUGGUAUUCCGAGGGGCAUGCCUGUUUGAGUGUCAUUAAAUUCUCAACCUUGAAAGGCUUUUGAAGUCCUUCGAGGCUUGGAUGUGGAGGCUGCGGGCCCUUGUUGGUCGGCUCCUCUUAAAUGCAUUAGCUGGGUUUGCGCCUUCAGCCUACUGGUGUGAUAAUUAUCUACGCCUCUGGGACGUUAGCGUGUUUACUUCUCCAGCUUCUAAUCGUCCGCAAGGACAAUACUUUGACCAUUUGACCUCAAAUCAGGUAGGACUACCCGCUGAACUUAA
rnacentral:rRNA from 1 species